rnacentral:lncRNA from 1 species
AUUAGAUUAAAUUAUUUAAUCCAAUCUGCUUCCGUUGAAAUUUUUUUGAAAUGCAUGCUUGAAACACCUGCCGAUUCUUUUAGUAGUAUCAGAGUGAAGCUCGUUAUGACAUGACAUAUGUGCCUAUAAAGAUCUGAUUUCUUAUUAUUUAGAUUAGAUCUAAAUAAAUUUUAUACUUAGAUCUGAUAUUUGAUCAAUUAGAUUAGAUGUCCUAGUA